UUUAACGAGAGCUUUGCUGAUAAACAUUGAAUUAUGAAAUGAACAUCAAAAAGUGUUGAUAGAAAAUAUGUGUUUCAUUUACCCGACACAUUCCCAGAGACUCAAAGUAUCCUGAGGUACGUUAUUCCGCUCAUCAUCCUGUCCCUCCCCCACCUCCUCUGGUCUCUCGUACAGCUGUGUGUUUGGUACCAAUACAACAAGAUCAAGAUGUUGUCCAGAUCAAGAUGGUGACAAGGACCUCCACCUCAUGAGACACACUGCAGUACCAGCAGCUGCUGCUAGUGACGAUGAGGAAGAAGAGGAUUAGGAGAAUAAUGGAGUUACUAAUCACAGCAAAAUUAACAAACGAGAAUAAAAAAUUAGUAUAAAAUUAUUCUAAAAGUAUUGAGACACUGCGUUCAAUAUUCAAUGGAAUGACAUCAAGUUACAACAAACUAAGGAAACAACUGGAAACAAAAAUGCACGAAAUCGAAGAGGAGAAAGGAGGAGAGAGAGGAGGAGGAGGAGCUGAAGAUUUGAACUUAUUGAAUGCUAAACUUGAAGCAGAUAAAGCUAAGCUUGAGCAUAAAGUGA